GCCUAGGUGGUGGAAUGGCAUACACGAAGGUCUCAAAAACCUUUGAGCGCAAGCUCAUGGGAGUUCGACUCUCCCCCUAGGCA
rnacentral:tRNA from 1 species